GGCUUAGAAGUUUAGUUGAUUAAAUUGCUCGUCUAGUAUACAAGAGUCGUAAGUUCAAAUCCUACCUGAGCAC
rnacentral:tRNA from 1 species